GUGGGACAGAGCUUACAUCAUUAUUUGGGAAGAAAUGUACUCUACUACACAGCAGGAGAUGUAACAACAAAAUGACAACCUGAUCUCUGUCCACUAUGCACUUCCAGCAUAUGAAGGGGAAAUAUUUUAAGGAAAAUAAAGGUGACCUCUCUGUGUGUGAGUGGGGCAUCCCCCAAAGAGGCUGAAGCGCUGCUGCCCUCCUGCUGCAGAACUCCUCCUCCUCACCCACCUUCCAGCCAGGCUCACAGCUGAGUGCUUGACUGCUUCGUGCCUUGGUGGAGCAUUUUCCUGGGCUGUAUUUCCUCCGGUGUUGCUCACAGCGCAGGUAGAAGCCUCCAUCCAUCUCCCUCUCCUCAGCAUACGACGGCUGAUCAUUGCUGUGCAUCUGUCUUUGGCAGCGGGAAGAGGGAUAGCA
rnacentral:lncRNA from 1 species